rnacentral:rRNA from 1 species
AUUGAACGCUGGCGGCAUGCCUAACACAUGCAAGUCGGGCGAGUGGCGGACGGGUGAGUAAUGUAUGGGGAUCUGGCUGAUGGAGGGGGAUAACUACGGGAAACUGUAGCUAAUACCGCGUACCAUCAGAUGAACCCAUAUGGGAUUAGGUAGUGGGUGAGGUAACGGCUCACCAAGCCGACGAUCCCUAGCUGGUCUGAGAGGAUGACCAGCCACACUGGGACUGAGACACGGCCCAGACUCCUACGGGAGGCAGCAGUGGGGAAUAUUGCGCAAUGGGGGCAACCCUGAUGCAGCCAUGCCGCGUGUAUGAAGAAGGCCUUCGGGUUGUAAAGUUCUUUCAGUAGGGAGGCGUUAACUACAGAAGAAGCACCGGCUAACUCCGUGCCAGCAGCCGCGGUAAUAC